CAUGCCAGUUAGAUUUGCUUCAGGGAUUUGUGAAUGGGGUGGCCACUUAUUUUCUGCUAAAGUCUUAAAUAUAUAAAGUGCAAUUUAUAUUCCACGGAACAUGUUUAAGGUAGGUUAUAGCAGCUAGUUGAUAUGCAUUCCAACAUGUGCCUUCUUUCUCACAAACAAAAUGGCUACAAAGAAUGAGCAACUAAACUGUGGGAUGUAGAGCCAAAGCAAGCUGACUUGAAUGCUUUGGCUGCCCAACAAUCUUCAUUUUUCGAGUAGUUAGAUGGCCAAAUAUACUUGUAGUCUGAGUGCCAAUGGCACUCCUUGUGUUUCUUUUAAUCUACCUACAUUAUAUAAUAUGUCAAUGACGGUGAUGGUGCU